GACCAGGUAGCUCAAUUGGUAAUGCGUCCGUCUACAGUCCGGAAGGUCCCGGGUUCGAAACCCGGUCUGGCCA
rnacentral:tRNA from 1 species